rnacentral:rRNA from 1 species
GACGAACGCUGGCGGCAUGCCUAAUACAUGCAAGUCGAGCGGAGUUGAUAGAAAGCUUGCUUUCUUGAUACUUAGCGGCGGACGGGUGAGUAACACGUAGGCAACCUGCCCUCAAGCUUGGGACAACUACCGGAAACGGUAGCUAAUACCGAAUACUUGUUUUCUUCGCCUGAAGGAAACUGGAAAGACGGAGCAAUCUGUCACUUGGGGAUGGGCCUGCGGCGCAUUAGCUAGUUGGUGAGGUAACGGCUCACCAAGGCGACGAUGCGUAGCCGACCUGAGAGGGUGAUCGGCCACACUGGGACUGAGACACGGCCCAGACUCCUACGGGAGGCAGCAGUAGGGAAUCUUCCGCAAUGGGCGAAAGCCUGACGGAGCAAUGCCGCGUGAGUGAUGAAGGUUUUCGGAUCGUAAAGCUCUGUUGCCAGGGAAGAACGCUUGGGAGAGUAACUGCUCCCAAGGUGACGGUACCUGAGGAGAAAGCCCCGGCUAACUACGUGCCAGCCGCCGCGGUAA